GUGAAUUUAGAGGUCGAAAGACGACCUUCCUCUUCACCAUCUUUCUGACCUCCGAUUGGAGUUCCUCUGGCCGCUUCACCGCAGGCUCUGGCUUCCUUUUCUCCAGUCUGCGCAGGAAGUCUCUGUGAUGACCAGGUCUCACCGUCCAGAUCUGCAGGCAGCUCAGCCUUCAGAACCGUGACAGAGCCAAGUGAUUGUUGGGAGCAGAGGAAUGGGAGAAAGCCAGAAAUCCAUUGAAAGAUACUUUUAAUCCACUUAGGAAUACUUACGUAAAUACAUCUUGAAAACUUAAACUGGAAAUAAGCUUACACCAGAAUGAAACCAGUAGGCUGUGCAGGGGCUGGCUGUGGUCAGGACUCAGCAGGUGAAGGUGCCUGCUGCCCAGCCUGAUGAUCCGAGUCCACUUUCUGGAAUCUCCAUGGUUGACUGCCUCCAAGAGUUCCUUCUACAGCUGGAAUGCAAGAUCCUGAGUGGAGUCCAGGUGGUGGGUCUGGGAGCCUCCAGAGAGUCAUGGCCAGUCAGGAUGGCUGCCGUCCCCGUGCUUCUGGAGAGGGGCUUAGCCAAGAGGAAGCCACCCCAAAGGCUGAUCUCCUGACAGUUGAGCCGGUCCCCUGACAUGUGGCAUGCUGCAGAGCCUCGGAGGAAAGAGACAGCAACACUGACGAAUGAGGUCAGCGGGACCUGCUGAGUACCCAGUGGAUGUGGAGAACAGUGGAGGCAGAGUGCCCGCUCAGAUUACAUGAUUAACUCUCUCGGUCACCAGUGCCUAGCAUCCAGGCUGGGCCCCAAGGAUGCAGAGGCCAGUAGGACCCAGAGACCUCCUGGCCGGAGAGAAUGGCAGGCCCGUAGCUGGGGGUUGGAUGCCAUCCGAUAGGUGUUUGGGGAAUAUUCUGGAGGGCAAAGGGCACUGAUGCCAGUGGAUAAAAGGGCUCUUGGUUACAAGAACCAGCACUGGGUUAGAUGAAUGCUACCUGUCCCAGUUGCGGUUCCUAUUGCUAGGGUGAAGCACCGUGACCAAAAGCAAGUUGGGGAGGGAACCGUUUGUUGGCCUUACACUUCCUCAUCCAUAAUCCAUCAUUGAGGGAAGUCAGGACAGAAACUCAAGCAGGGCAGGAUCCUGGAGACAGAGGCUGAUGCAGAGGCCAUGGAGGGGUGCUGUUUACUGGGUUGCUUCCCAUGGCUUGCUCAGUCUGCUUUCUUAUAGGAUCCAGGACCACCAGAUCAAAUAUGCCACCACCCAAUGGGCUGGGCCCUCACCCACCAAUCAAUCACUAAGGAAAUGCUCUAUACAUUUGCUUACAG
rnacentral:lncRNA from 1 species